CAAUGUACAGGAUGAGGAUGAAGAGGAUAAAUGGGUCAAUAUACAGGAUGAGGAUGAAGAGGAUAAAUGGGUCAAUAUACAGGAUGAGGAUGAAGAGGAUAAAUGGGUCAAUAUACAGGAUGAGGAUGAAGAGGAUGAAUGGGUGACUACAUGAACAGGAUGAGGAUGAUGAGAAUAGUGUAGGAUUGACUGUGUAUGUAUGUAGAUUGUGGGGACAGUUAAUGUCU